rnacentral:tRNA from 1 species
ACAAAUAUAGUUUAACAAAAACAUUAGAUUGUGAAUCUAAGGAGUUUAAAUCUCCUUAUAUGCU